rnacentral:rRNA from 1 species
UUCCUACGGGAGGCUGCAGUGGGGAAUAUUGGACAAUGGGCGAAAGCCUGAUCCAGCAAUGCCGCGUGAGUGAUGAAGGCCUUAGGGUUGUAAAGCUCUUUUACCAGGGAUGAUAAUGACAGUACCGGGAGAAUAAGCUCCGGCUAACUCCGUGCCAGCAGCCGCGGUAAUACGGAGGGAGCUAGCGUUGUUCGGAAUUACUGGGCGUAAAGCGCACGUAGGCGGCUUUGUAAGUUAGGGGUGAAAGCCCGGAGCUCAACUCCGGAAUGGCCUUUAAGACGGCAGCGCUUGAAUCCAGGAGAGGUGAGUGGAAUUCCGAGUGUAGAGGUGAAAUUCGUAGAUAUUCGGAAGAACACCAGUGGCGAAGGCGGCUCACUGGACUGGUAUUGACGCUGAGGUGCGAAAGCGUGGGGAGCAAACAGGAUUAGAUACCCUUGUAGUCU